AUUGAACGCUGGCGGCAGGCCUAACACAUGCAAGUCGAGCGGAUGAAGGGAGCUUGCUCCUGGAUUCAGCGGCGGACGGGUGAGUAAUGCCUAGGAAUCUGCCUGGUAGUGGGGGAUAACGUCCGGAAACGGGCGCUAAUACCGCAUACGUCCUGAGGGAGAAAGUGGGGGAUCUUCGGACCUCACGCUAUCAGAUGAGCCUAGGUCGGAUUAGCUAGUUGGUGGGGUAAAGGCCUACCAAGGCGACGAUCCGUAACUGGUCUGAGAGGAUGAUCAGUCACACUGGAACUGAGACACGGUCCAGACUCCUACGGGAGGCAGCAGUGGGGCAUAUUGGACAAUGGGCGAAAGCCUGAUCCAGCCAUGCCGCGUGUGUGAAGAAGGUCUUCGGAUUGUACAGCACUUUCAGUUGGGAGGAAGGGCAGUAAGUUAAUACCUUGCUGUUUUGACGUUACCAACAGAAUAAGCACCGGCUAACUUCGUG
rnacentral:rRNA from 1 species